AAAGUGUAAGGAUAGUGUUUAAAGUUGCUUCAUGUGUAGAAGCUGAAUUACUUUAGUUUAUACACUGUAAUGUCGAUAUCACAUGUUGAUAUGACUUUAAUACUAGCAACUUGCAAUAAGUGGUCUGUCCUGCUUGUUUAUAAUACUUUAGAGUUUGGACAUUAGAACAUUGUAAUUGCCUGACAGAGACUGUUAGGGCCUGUUUGUAUGGAAGCCGGGCUGGCCCGCUUAGCGAGACAGCCCGGUAAGGUAGAUACGCAGGAUGAUUUCUCUUGUGUUUAUUUGAGAAAAUUUCAUCCUGCUUACCGGGACAAUUUUGUUGUUUUGACAUUGUUUUGACAGUUGUUAAAAAUAGCUUGCGGCAGUAUCGUUGAACAUUCAUCCUGGCAACUGGGCUAUCCUGCUUGUGAUUGUUUAUAUGGAAAAAUUUCCAUCCUGGUCUCUGCAACAGGGCCUCCCGCUUGUACAUAGAAACAAUUUUAAUUAUAAUUUUUACUAUAAAAAUAAGUAGACAGUGAGAUCUCACUUACCGGGCUGUCUCACUUAGCGGGCCAGCCAGUUUUGAUAUAAACAGGCCCUUAAAAGCUGCAAGUUUCCUUAAAGCAAUAUCGUCUAUAUCACAGAAUACAGUUUCUGUAGUGACAUACUUUGUGUGUUUUCUGUCUUUAAAGUGUCUUAUGUUUGUAAUAUUUUUGUACAAUACAUUUUUGAAAUUGUUGAUACUGGUCUCAUUGUAACUCAGUUAUUCCUUCUCAAGAAAAAUAAAAAACAAAGCUGUGUGGGUG